rnacentral:rRNA from 1 species
UGAUCCUGGCUCAGAUUGAACGCUGGCGGCAGGCUUAACACAUGCAAGUCGAGCGGAGUGAUGGUGCUUGCACUAUCACUUAGCGGCGGACGGGUGAGUAAUGCUUAGGAAUCUGCCUAUUAGUGGGGGACAACAUUUCGAAAGGAAUGCUAAUACCGCAUACGUCCUACGGGAGAAAGCAGGGGAUCUUCGGACCUUGCGCUAAUAGAUGAGCCUAAGUCGGAUUAGCUAGUUGGUGGGGUAAAGGCCUACCAAGGCGACGAUCUGUAGCGGGUCUGAGAGGAUGAUCCGCCACACUGGGACUGAGACACGGCCCAGACUCCUACGGGAGGCAGCAGUGGGGAAUAUUGGACAAUGGGCGCAAGCCUGAUCCAGCCAUGCCGCGUGUGUGAAGAAGGCCUUAUGGUUGUAAAGCACUUUAAGCGAGGAGGAGGCUACUGAAGUUAAUACCUUCAGAUAGUGGACGUUACUCGCAGAAUAAGCACCGGCUAAG